UGCGUGAGUGACACCACAGCCAGCAGCCUGGGACGUGGGACAGCUGCCGUACAACCUCCAUGGACGCGGGGCCUGGGCCCUUCACAAGCGGGGGCCCCGGGUGCUGUAGCUGCAAAGGGCAAGAGUGCAGCCCCUGGAGGUACCGUCUGGUCUGCGUCCUCCGCGCUGACACCCCAGUCUCGGGCUGCGGACCCACGUCCUGCCUCAGCUGGGGGCUGAGAGGAAAGCAGCUGCAGCCCACAGCGUUUCACCCGAGCUGCGCAACGUGCACGUAACACAAGGCCACGGCACACACCACACAGGGGCAGCCCGGAGCUCUGCUCUCCUCUCUUAGAAAAGGGCCCUGCUGUAAAGUGCGUGCCCACACUCACACGCACCCACACCACCUACACCGAGGGAGAGGAGGCUUGCACACCCACAGAGUGAGACUUGCUUCAGCAGACAGCAAGCACUGCUGGGACGAUUGGUGAGAUCUAAACAAGGACUGUGGAGUAGAUAAGUGCUACAUUUAUGCCGGGCGUGGUGGUGUACACCUGUAAUCCCAGCACUCGGGAGGCUGAGGCAGGAGGAUCACUGCGAGUUCGAGACCAGCCUGGGCUACAAAGUGAGCUCAAGGCCAGCCUGA
rnacentral:lncRNA from 1 species